rnacentral:rRNA from 1 species
UACAGAGGGGGCAAGCGUUGUUCGGAAUUACUGGGCGUAAAGGGUGCGUAGGCGGCGCGGUAAGUCGGGUGUGAAAUCUCGGGGCUUAACUCCGAAACUGCAUUCGAUACUGCCGGGCUAGAGGAUGGUAGAGGCGAGUGGAAUUCCCGGUGUAGCGGUGAAAUGCGCAGAUAUCGGGAGGAACACCAGUAGCGAAGGCGGCUCGCUGGGCCAUUCCUGACGCUGAGACGCGAAAGCUAGGGGAGCGAACAGG